rnacentral:rRNA from 1 species
ACCCGUUGAUCCUGCGGGAGGUUGCUGCUAGGGGGAUUCGACUAAGCCAUGCAAGUCUGAUAGCAAUAUCGGCGAAAUGCUCAGUAACACGUCGUUAACAUGCCCUUCGGUCAGGGAUAAGCACGGGAAACUGUGUGUAAUACCUGAUAAGAAAAUUAACCUGGAAUGGUAGUUUUUUUGAAACUUGUGCCGAAGGAUUGGGCGGCGGCGGAUUAGGUAGUUGGCGGUGUAACGGACCACCAAGCCGAAGAUCCGUACGGGCCUUGAGAGAGGUAGCCCGGAGAGGGACACUGAGAUACUGGUCCCAGCCCUACGGGGUGCAGCAGGCGCGAAACCUUUACAAUGCACGCAAGUGUGAUAAGGGAAUCCCCCGUGCUCAUGCAUAGCAUGGGCUUUUAUUAAGUGUAAAUAGCUUGAUGAAUAAGUGGUGGGAAAGACUGGUGCCAGCCGCCGCGGUAACACCAGCGCCACGAGUGGCAACCGCGAUUAUGGGCCUAAAGCGUCCGUAGCCGGUUCGGUAAAUCUCUUGUGAAAUUGUGCAGCUCAACUGCACAACGUGCAAGAGACACUGCCGGACUUGAGACCGGGAGGAGUCAGAAGUAUUCCAGGGGGAGCGGUAAAAUGUUAUAAUCCCUGGAGGACUACCUGUGGCGAAGGCGUCUGACCAGAACGGAUCUGACGGUGAGGGACGAAAGCCAGGGGAGCGAACCGGAUUAGAUACCCGAGUAGUCCUGGCCGUAAACGCUGUGAGCUAGGUGUUGCGUUAACCACGAGUUGAUGCAGUGUCGAAAUGAAGAUGUUAAGCUCACCGCCUGGGAAGUACGGUCGCAAGACUGAAACUUUAAGGAAUUGGCGGGGGAGCACCACAAGGGGUGCGGCGUGCGGUUUAAUCUAACUCAACGCAGAGAACCUUACUAGAAGCGACGGCAGGAUGAAGGUCAGCUUGAAGAGCUUACCUGACAAGCCGAGAGGUGGUGCAUGGCCGUCGUCAGCUCGUGCUGUGAAGUGUCCUCUUAAGUGAGGCAACGAGCGAGACCUGUAUUUGCAAUUGCUAACAGCCACAUGUGGGACUGAGCACUUUGCAAAGACUGCCCCGGAAACGGGGAGGAAGGUGCAGGCUACGGUAGGUCUGUAUGCCCCGAAUCUUCUAGGCUACACGCGCGCAACAAUGGUUGGGACAAUGGGAUGCCACUCCGAAAGGAGAAGCUAAACCUCUAAACCCAAUCCAAGUCCAGAUUGAGGCUUGCAACUCAGCCUCAUGACGACGGAAUCCCUAGUAAUCAGAAGUCAUCAUCUUCUGGUGAAUAUGUCCCUGCUCCUUGCACACACCGCCCGUCAAAUCAACCGAGCAGGGUCUGGGUAAAAUGUAGUUUUUUGAUUGCAUUGAAUCUAGGCUCAGUGUGGUGGGUUAAGUCGUCACAAGGUA